GGCCCCGUAGCUCAGCGGAUAGAGCAUUCGUUUCCUAAACGAUGUGUCGGAAGUUCGAUUCUUCUCGGGGGCG
rfam:Aerococcus sanguinicola strain CCTG43001, complete genome.